rfam:Camelus ferus unplaced genomic scaffold scaffold765, whole genome shotgun sequence.
GAGGGUACAGCUCAAGUGGUAGAGCACGUGCUUCGCAUGCACAAGGUCCUGGGUUCAAUGCUCAGUACCUCUG